GAUGAACGCUGGCGGCGUGCCUAAUACAUGCAAGUCGAGCGAACGGACGAGAAGCUUGCUUCUCUGAUGUUAGCGGCGGACGGGUGAGUAACACGUGGAUAACCUACCUAUAAGACUGGGAUAACUUCGGGAAACCGUAGCUAAUACCGGAUAAUCUUUUGAACCGCAUUGUUCAAAAGUGAAAGACGGUCUUGCUGUCACUUAUAGAUGGAUCCGCGCUGCAUUAGCUAGUUGGUAAGGUAACGGCUUACCAAGGCAACGAUGCAUAGCCGACCUGAGAGGGUGAUCGGCAACCCUGGAACUGAGACACGGUCCAGACGCCUACGGGAGGGAGCAGUAGGGAAUCUUCCGCAAUGGGCGAAAGCCUGACGGAGCAACGCCGAGUGAGUGAUGAAGGUCUUCGGAUCGUAAAACUCUGUUAUGAGGGAAGAACAUAUGUGUAAGUAACUGUGCACAGCUUGACGGUACCUAAUCAGAAAGCCACGGCUAACUACGUG
rnacentral:rRNA from 1 species